AUAGAAUCAUAGAAUCACCAAAGUUGGAAACUCCAAGAUCAUCUUGUCUAACAGUCCACCUACCACCAAUAUUUCCCCACUAAACCAUAUCCCUUAGGACAACAUCUUGAACACCUGCAGAGACGGUGACUCAACCACCUCCCUGAGUAGCCUGUUCCAUCACCUAAGAUUGCCCUCCUCCUUUUCAAUUUCAAUUUAGGUACAGCUAUCUGAAAGCAUCUUCCUUGUGGUCCUUCUGACACCCACUCAAGCUACAAGAUGUUCUUUACCCUAUUCCAGAAGCCCUGUCCUGGAUGGAAGCAAAGCUACCUGCUGUCAGUGUUGGUAAUUCACAACAACUCUGGAAACCUUAGAAGAAGAGGUAACAUGGGCAUCUCUGCAUCAUACCUCCAAUGUUUAUCAGCCCUUUCUGAAUUGCACUGCUGCUCUCUUGAAGGCUUGACAGAAGCUACAUACUGUGUGCCUGAGGUGCGGUAGCAUACAAACUCGUGCCAGAGAAGGCAGGGAUAAGAGCUACAGGCUGGCUCAUAAGGUCCACCACAGGUGGUCCUGUUGUAGGUCACAUUGGUUGAACAGUGUUGUUACCAAACUGUGAUAUUUCCAGUGAGUUAUUCUGACAGCCAGAUAAACCUUCAGCUAAAUAAAUAACAGGCAUAGCCUUCAACCAACCAAAUGCAACUGUUUAAUUAAUGUGCUUAUUCUAAGUAAAUUAAAAGGCAAGGGAUUGGGAGGGGGGGAGCCUUCUGAUCUUUUAAGGAUGAAUAAAGCAGAAAAUGCAAUACCAGAUCUAAACAUGAAAGCGAGUGAAUCCUCUUAAAGCUGAGGAUGCAACAGUAAUGCAAAGCAGGAAAACAGCUUUUCAUUUUCAGCCAUAGACUCAAUCUGGUGGACUAAUAGUAAGAAGAUACAAAUUGUAAUAAAUUGUGGUUUUUGCAGGAAGGCUUGAACAUCACACCAAAACAAGAACAAUUUCCACUUUCUCACUGCCUGUCUUACAGCAAAGAAGGGAGAUCAAGACCAGUAACCAUACAGGACAAAAUCUGACUAGACUGUACAUUUUCUUACCACCUUGAUGGAAGAAGCGUCAAUGUCAGGAGUCAAAAAGUAUCUAUUAUCCAGAUCAUCCAUGGAUAGAAUAAGUGCAGAAUAUAUGUGGUGGUUGACUGACAACCCAGAAGUCUGCAGUAGCAUCAUGCUGUGACUG
ensembl:lncRNA